rnacentral:rRNA from 1 species
AGAAUCAACGCUGGCGGCGUGCCUAACACAUGCAAGUCGAACGAGAAAGGGACUUCGGUCCUGAGUACAGUGGCGCACGGGUGAGUAACACGUGACUAACCUACCCUGGAGUGGGGAAUAACUGAGGGAAACCUUAGCUAAUACCGCAUAAUACCUACGGGUCAAAGGAGCAAUUCGCUUCAGGAGGGGGUCGCGGCCGAUUAGCUAGUUGGCGGGGUAAUGGCCCACCAAGGCAAUGAUCAGUA